UCCAUCUCCGAAGUUUGAAAUAAAAGAGGAAGAGCGUGUUUUUGGCGCCUUGUAAAUUAGCUCAGACUCCUUCUCUGCGGUUCUUGAAUCCAUUCUUUCACUCUCUUCCCAUGGCUGCUCCAUCCGAAUCAUCUCUCAUUUCGAAGCUUCAGUCCUCCGAUUCCUCCGCAUCCACGCCCUAGUCUCCGAUUACCUCCGUCCCCUAGCAGAUCUCAAAGCGACAAAGAAAUCCAAACCCGACCCAACCCUAAUUCGCUCCCUCGCCAAACGCUUUCUUUCCUUCCUCAACUCUUCUCUAUCCAUCCUCCCCAAACGCCUCCCGGAGCUUUCCAAGUCCAACGACGCCGUUUUGCUACUCGAACUGCUCCGCGUUUACAGGCUCUGCCUCGAUUGCUUGGACACCGUCGCUUUUCAGUUGGCUUCCAAGCCAUUCUCCGUCGAAUUCCAGAGACUUCGCUUCAUGCACUGUCUCGAGUCCUGCGCACUCUUCGCCGAAGCCGACGUCGAGGGUUUGGGAGUUCUUGAGAGGCUUCGACAGCCGAAGAGGAAGGGCAAGCUUCUCCCUGAAAUAGACAAGGGCGGCGGAGGCAGUAAAGACUUAUGUUCGUUGAUAGUUGACAUUGCCGUGAGCCUCGUGAGGUGUGCAUCAGCGGGUUUGGCUAAAGAAGAUGGCGAUUUCAAGAAGGUGCUUCAGUUGGUGGAGGAAGUAACCCCUUGGCUCAAGAUUCGGCAUAUAAGAAGUUUGGUAACGUAGAUGGGUAUAGCAUAUACAAGAAAGAACAAGUCUAUGGGAACUUACCGGCAUGGUUCAAAACAGCCCUUCUCUUAGAGUUUCCAUUCUACAGUCGUAAUCUUCCACAAGAAGAAAACUGGUGAGAUUGGUGGUCUGAAUGCAAUUUUAUACUCUGAACAUGAUUUGUCCAUCCCUGUUCGUGUGCUCCCACCCUCAUUGGCAUGACGUCUCAUGGCUUCUUAGGGCAAAAAAUUCUAUCAAUUACAGCGGCGGUGAUUUAUUAUUGGUCUUAUGUUGUUCUUAUGUUUAUUUGUUUCGAACCAAUAAUUGUCUAACCUUAUAUGAGUAAUGUUGUUAUGCUUAGGUGGUUGGUUAUCGAUAAUGACCCCUAAUGAAAGACUAGCGCAUUUGUCCAUUCUCAGUCUCCGUAUAUUGAGAUGAUUGACAAUUUCCUUAGCUUGGUGUCUUAAAUUCAACAUUACAAGUGGGGUUGAUCGGUUCAAGAGACCGUUUGCACAUCUUGAGGAGCAUUAUGGGAACAGUGAACGAAGCACUCCAUUGCAUUGCAGAGACAACAUGUCUCCUUACCUAG